rnacentral:miRNA from 1 species
GGGGGGGGCCCGCCGGCG